GAUGAACGCUAGCUACAGGCUUAACACAUGCAAGUCGAGGGGCAGCAUGGUCUUAGCUUGCUAAGGCCGAUGGCGACCGGCGCACGGGUGAGUAACACGUAUCCAACCUGCCGUCUACUCUUGGACAGCCUUCUGCAAGGAAGAUUAAUACAAGAUGGCAUCAUGAGUCCGCAUGUUCACAUGAUUAAAGGUAUUCCGGUAGACGAUGGGGAUGCGUUCCAUUAGAUAGUAGGCUGGGUAACGGCCCACCUAGUCUUCGAUGGAUAGGGGUUCUGAGAGGAAGGGCCACCACAUUGGAACUGAGACACGGUCCAAACUCCUACGGGAGGCAGCAGUGAGGAAUAUUGAUGAAUGGGCGAGAGCCUGAACCAGCCAAGUAGCGUGAAGGAUGACUGCUCUAUGGGUUGUAAACUUUUUUUAUAAAGGAAUAAAGGCGGGUAUGGAUACCCGUUUGCAUGUACUUGAUGAAUAAGGAUCGGCUAACUCCGUG
rnacentral:rRNA from 1 species